GAUGAACGCUGGCGGCGUGCUUAACACAUGCAAGUCGAACGAAGUACUUUUACAGAUUUCUUCGGAAUGAAGUUUUAGUGACUGAGUGGCGGACGGGUGAGUAACGCGUGGGUAACCUGCCUCACACAGGGGGAUAACAGUUGGAAACGGCUGCUAAUACCGCAUAAGCGCACAGUACCGCAUGGUACAGUGUGAAAAACUCCGGUGGUGUGAGAUGGACCCGCGUCUGAUUAGCUAGUUGGCAGGGCAGCGGCCUACCAAGGCGACGAUCAGUAGCCGACCUGAGAGGGUGACCGGCCACAUUGGGACUGAGACACGGCCCAAACUCCUACGGGAGGCAGCAGUGGGGAAUAUUGCACAAUGGGGGAAACCCUGAUGCAGCGACGCCGCGUGAGCGAAGAAGUAUUUCGGUAUGUAAAGCUCUAUCAGCAGG
rnacentral:rRNA from 1 species